AGAAACAUUAAUUGAAGAUAAUCUGUACUCAAGUCAAAUUUAAUUAAACAAAGCAGAACGAAUCUGCUGGCACUAUUAUGGUCAUCUUAGACAAAUUUAAGCGAUAUAUUUACUGCUCAGAAAACUUGAGCAAGUAGUUGGUUCAAUUAGUAUUUUUCCAUUGAGUAGUGCUUGAGGUUUAUUAUUAAAAAAGGAUCAAAUGUGCAUGACACUUUAAGAAAUGCAACUUUCUUCUACAUAAGUUGGAUAAAACAACACUUGGUUGUUAUUGAAUUAGUGUUUUAUAAAUGAUGCAGAUGGUUAGCUCAUAGAUAGUUUUAUCAUGCUUAAUCUCUAGUGUAUGUCCUAAAAGGCUAAGCAUAUAGAGUAUACAUAAAAUUCUUUAACAAGAAGCUAAGUAUUGCAAGUUAACUCUAGUUUGGUGAGUGCAAACAGGUACUUACAACAAGGCUAAGAUAAAACAAUUUAAAAUUUUAUUAAUGUUUUGGUACUUGAGAUUGCAGCUUGACAUGAUAGUUAAUUUAGCUUUGCUUCCUUCAUCAUUUCAGACCUCUGUGUGAAUAGCAAAAGCAAGCACACUUCCUUUAUAUUUGCAAACUCACAUAAGGUGGAAAAGAAUUUUUGACCUGCAUAUUUAAUGGUUAUCAUUUUUUAGCAAGCUCUUUAUAAUUUUUUACUGUAUGGCUGGUUUAGCUUUUUUAACUGGUUGAUAUUGCUGAAACCUGUAUUUAUGAUUGUAUUGUGUUUGUUUCAGGUCAAAAUUCAAAAGAACAGUGAAGUACGUUGAAGAUAAUAGGAACUUGUGUUGAUGCCACUGAAAUUGCACCUCUGCAUUGGCACCAUCAAAGAUGAUUUCUUGGGUGUUUUCAAUGAUCCAGGCGCAGCUACCUAGUUGGCCAUUUAAAACUCCACAAACAUCAUGCAACAUCACCAGUAGGAGUAAUUGUGCUUCUUACUGCUGAAUGUGACUAAGAGACUAGUGUUCAUCAAUGUAAAUCUUGAUUAUAAAACUAGUUGCUAUUAAGGCUUCACACUGGCUUUUGCGCUAAAAAAUGGCAUCAGAGAAUUCUAAAACAUAGCAAAAAUUCAGAUUUGGGAGAUAAA